rnacentral:lncRNA from 1 species
UCAGGAGGCUCAGACACAAGAAUCACUUGAACCUGGGAGGCAGAGGUUGCAGUGAGCUGAGGUCACGCCACCGCACUCCAGCCUGGGCAACAGAGCGAGACUCUGUCUCCAAAAAAAAAAAAAAAAAAAAAAAAAAAAAAGAAAAAAAAGAAAAGGAAAAAGUCUCAAUGAAUAAUAAUUUUUUUUGUGCCUCAAUUGUAAAUGCCCAUUUAGACAUUUCCAAAGGCCAUGUUCAAAAAGGAAUUCCAAGAACAUUUGGUGGGAAGGGAAUGGCAUCGUAUUUGUUCUGAAGGAAUACUUGUGAAAAGUGGUCAUGUGACAAACUCAUUCAGGCUGUCAAACAAACACAUUGCUAGGAGGAUCACCUCAACCUGUAGGAACUUCCUUCCUGCCAAGAAGCUGGUUCAUUCAUCACCAAGCAUCAUCAUCAUGGAAUUCUCACCCUGCUGGAGGUUCGAGCCAAGACAUAGAAAGAGGACAUUACCUGGGGCAGGAAUCAAUUGCCUAUCACUGGGGAUGCCUGCAGAUCAUUGUCCAGAGUGGCUGCUGUUCACUGAGUGUUUCCUCUGUGCCGGGCACCUUGCACACCUUAUUUUCAGUCUCCGCAGCUGCCUUGUUGAGGUUGGCUCUCUAUGCUUCUGUUUCACAGUUGGGGAAACUGAGGUUCAGAGAUGUGAAUUAAUUUUCUCAAAGUAACAUUAGGUAUUGGUAAGAUUUCAUUUAUCCAUUCACUAUUAAAUAUUAUUAAGUAAUUACAGUGCUUUAAGAACUCCAUGUAAAUGGUGGAUUUGAGGCCAAACUUUAAAAGCUGAAUUACAUAAGGAGUUAACAUUGCAAAAAGCUUAGAAAUUUAUGUUCCAGGUGGAGCGAACAGAGGUUGUGUCUUUUCGGUUACAAGUAAUAAAAUCCAGAGGCUAUCUCAAGGGAAAAAUAAAGCACUAGAUGGUCUACCAAAGAUAGAGGGGCAGGUGGAUUUUGGGAAGGGGCAAGAGUGAACAGCUAGAAAAAUGUGGCUUACGUUUUCUGUCUUAUCUGCCCCUUAGCUUCAUAACUUUCUUUUUCUCAUGUGUAGAGUGAUCAAAGAUGACCACCACCAAACUUUCAUAUUAAAGAUUAAAACACAAAAAUAGGCCAGACAGAGUGGCUCAUGCCUGUAAUCCCAGCAUCUUGAGAGGGUGAGGCAGAAGGAUCGCUUGAGCCCAGGAGUUUAGGUUCAGCCUGGGCAACAUAGCAAGAUCCUGUCACUAUAAAUAGUAACAAGAUUAGGUGGACAUUAUGGUUCAUACCUGUGGUCCCAGCUCUUCAGGGGGCUGAGGCAGGAAGAUCCCUUGAGCUCAGAAGUUUGAGG